AUUAGGUAACAAGCAGGUACAAGGUGAAACUACCUCUGCACAAAUGAAACAUGGGCUCUUUUGCUACUUACCAGGAACAUUCCCUAUUUUCUGGAAUCUGUCCCUGGUAAAUCACUGUCCCCAUUUUGUCCUUAUUUUUACCUCCUAGGGAUGCCUUGCUCAAUUUUUCUUUUCUUCACUUGAGGUUUUCAGGGUUCAGUUCUCUCCCCAGAGUCUAUAGAAAUUAAACUUCCAAUUGGAUGGGUGGAUGAAUCAUGUCUCUAGUGAACUUGCAUGUAAAUGGGUGCACAACAUUAAGGCACUAUGUAGUGCAGAGUAUAUAAGAGGCAAAAUCCAAUCUUCAGCAAUCUGUAAUAGUGGGAGGGCUGCAUUUCAUUCUGACCCCUCCACCCAUGAACAUCACCGUUUAAGGGUGCAACGAACAUCUCAAAUUGGGUUUCCAAGGAAAUGCUUCAAAAAUGAAUGUUUUCAUAUCCCUCCCAGAAACAUGGGAAUCUGCUAAAAAAAACCCUCUACCAAAGUUUUGUGCUAGUUUGUGCCAUUUUUUUUGCCACAAACCCCAUGUUUUGAACUGCCUCAUUUAAUGGACAUCUCAGAUUAAAUAAGGCAGUGCAAAAUUUAAAGUGAACACAAAAUGAAAAUGAACACAAAACUCUGGUAAAGGUUUUGAGGGGAUCCCCAUGCGGAUAGGAGGGAAUAUGAACAUAUUACUUUUGGGGGGGGCGUAUUCCUUUGGAACCCCAAUUUGAAAUGUCCAGUACACCAUUAAACGAGGUGGCACAAAACCCGGAGUUUGUGGCACAAAAUUAGCACAAAACUUUGGUAGCGGUUUUGAGAGGAUAUGACAAUGUUCAUUUGAGGGUGGGUCAGGAGGAAAUGCAUCUUGUUUGUCCAGUAAUUUUUAGUAUGAGAAUUGUUUGUUACAAGUGUAUUUUAAUCUGCAAAACAUUAGGGAGUAUGAGUUUGGUUCAUCAGCUUGGUAAUCUGAAAUAAUGUGUUCUGCAUUCACUUUAUUUCCUGCUUUCCAUUUGAGGCAUGGAAAAAAGAAUUGUCUGUCACACUUCCCAAACUGCUUGGCCAGUUCCCUUCAUAUUGAACAUUACACUUCCUAGCUUGCUUGGCACAUUCACAAACAUGUCCCUGUUUUUAUCAGUGAUACACUGGAUGGUUUGAUAAAAAGUCACUGUCGGUAUUAGGGCUGAACUGAAUAGUUGGGUGGGGGUAGGACUGAAUUUUAAAUUAAAACCACCAAUCAAGUAAAACUUUUCAUUGAAGCAGUAUGUACUUCCAGCCAAGGAGGGCAACGGGGUGGCAGGGAGAUACGCUGCCACCCUAAAGACUUUUAACUGCAAUGGGCGCCAGUGGGGGGAAAGCAGCAGGAGGGGUAAGUACACCCUCCCCCACCCUUAAAGAGGCACUCCCGCCACCUUUGAACCGCCCAGCUCUGUGCACAUCCCUAGUGAAUAGCAGUGAAGAGAGUUCUACUAUUCUUCUCCCCCUUGCAUGUUUCACAUUUCUGAUUGUAUACAGAUGUAUGCCAAAAGUCUCAACACUUGACAUGAAGUUACUGCCAACACUCUUAUAUAAUGGAUGCAUAUAUUACACAGGCAGGGGAGUUCCUGUGUGUUAUAGGGGAGAGGUAAAACAGCAUUCUGUAACCCAACCAGCCCCCCCACCCAAACACCCAAUACUCUGUGGCUUCUCAAAGCUUUCUGCUACCACUAUUGGUGCCUGAAGGGGCAUUGUUACACUCAGAAUCGCCUACUCAACAACGAUGCCAGUUUUUAAAAUCAAAUCCAUGGAAUAAUGGCAAAGUUAUGAAGAAUAAAAGCUGAAAGGAAAUUUGUCAUUGUUGAAAAACAGACAUGACACCUUGUGACUGCAGCUAGGUCUCCCCCCCCCACACCCACACCCACACCCACCAUAUUUAUAAUGGGUAUCUUUUGCCUUGACUAAGGAAGCACAAAUUUACUUAAUUGCUUUAGGAAAGGUCUCUUCAAAUGGCCUGUGUCAUGUACUGUGUGCUUUCAUUGUUUAGUCAAAAUAAAGAUGUUUGAAAUUUCUGCAAAUUACAGACAAAGAGGGGCCCAAAACAUCAAGUGAGGAGUAUGCUCAAAUCACUCAGAAUAUUCGAGAGGAGAAAAGGGAAGGAGGGAGGGGGAGUGGGCAGAGAAGGGAGGGGCAAGUGCACAGCUUCUGCCCUGAUUGCCCAGAAAACAGCUGUGCAGGGGAGCUUUGUUUUUGCUCCUUCUCCGAAGAAAUCGAAAUGUCUAGAAAGGAUAACCAUUACAGCUGAAUGGUAUAACUGAUGUAUCUGAGGAAAACAGGCCUCAUUGUUGGUUCAUUUUACCUCAGAACUGGUAGGCCUCAGUGCUCCUGUAUGGUUUUAAAUACCUUCUAACCUCAUUCCUCAUAAUGGGGAAGGGCUGUUGAGUUCCUUGUAAGGGCCAGAGGGAGCAGGACAUUUAACAGUUGUGUGGCAGGCAGAAAUUUAACAGGUGCAACUUUGGUUAGCACAGGAGGGUGCAAGCAGCACCUGCUGAUAUUCUCCCUUUACUUCAAGCUCCUUGGCAGCCAUGUGUGCGCACACACGUCGAUAUGACACUUACCAGGGCUGCAGGGAGGUACACUCUAGUCUCGCACCAGUGGUUUUAAGGAGAGCGUUGGUGGGGGGAAAGCAGCAGGGAAGGUAAGGGCACCCUCCCUGCUCCUUAACCCCGCCUGCCUCCUGAGAGUGCACGAAUCAGUUCAUGCACAUCCCUAUUGAUAAAUGACUGAAUGUAUUCACUCUCUGCAUCUGAGAAGCAUAUGAGAGGCAGCAUGGUGUAGUGGUUAGACUAGGACCGGGGAGACCUGGGUUCAAAUCCCCAUUCAGCCAUGAUACUAGCUGGGUGACUCUGGGCCAGUCACUUCUCUCUCAGCCUAACCUACUUCACAGGGUUGUUGUGAGGAGAAACUCAAGUAUGUAGUAUACCACUCUGGGCCCCUUGGAGGAAGAGCAGGAUAUAAAUGUAAUAAUGAUGAUGAUGAUGAUGAUGAUGAUGAUGAACUUGUAUCACUAUAAUGGAGAAUAUACUCAAAAAUUAUUUCACUGUAGAUUUUUGAUGAAAAUGAGAAAUAUAUUGAUUAAAAACUGAAUUUUUGUAUCACAGUACAGUGAUGGCACACUCCUAUUCCAGCCAACUUCAAAAAGCUAUUGAUUACAUUGUAAGGAAGCACACAUUUAUCAUUUGAUUCAUGCCCAGCCUGUUUCCUUCACUCCUCGCAUUAUUUUCUGUUCAGCACAUUUCUGUUUUUUAAGGGUGUUCCUUUCUAUGAAUAUCUGAGUAAUACAAAUUGAUGUGAUUUAUGAAAAACUAUAAUAAAUAUGAUGUAAUUCUAAUAUAAGCAAUUAUAUAAUUGCAGAGAGAGAGAGAGAGAGAGAGAGAGAGAGAGAGAGAGAGAGAGAGUAAAAUUAAAGUUUGCAGGCUAGCACCAGAGAAGCAACAGAUUCUGGAUUCUUCCUGCAGGGGGCAAUGUACUACAAUAAAAGGAAACAAUGAAAAUAAGCAAAGUAAUUUCUCCAGAUUACACAAUUAAUUUUUAUAGCUCAGAAGCAUAGUGUUUAACUAUCUCUCUUUUUAAUGUUUCGCAAUAUUGUAAUGGCUAUAAAGAAAAGAUACUAAAAUGUUUUUCCUUCUUUAUUUUAUAUUCAUGUUUUGAGAGAAACAACACUUAAGCAUCCAUUAAGCUUGUUAUUGACAGAAUGACUGGUGUUUCUAUGAGAAAAAAAGAUCAGAUCAGAUGGCAGAAGAUGGGAAUGAUUAAACGAUCAGACAUCACAAUUGAAUAGCCAUUCAAACAUUUGAAUGGUAGAAUACAAGCCAGUUCCUGAUGCCGAGAAGUUGUCGUAGAAGAUCCUGUCAGAUUUAAGGCCAAUUUCUGUAAACCACAAAGCUCCGAAGCAAUGGACACUGUGUCUUUCAUACCGUCCACUAUUAGCAUUGCUAAUUCUGCCAUUUGAUACUGUGUUCAAUUGAUCCCUGGACUGAAUGGUGUUAUGUUUACACAUUUUUUCCAUAUUAUGUUUUCUUUACCACCAUGUUCCAUUUUGCCAUGGGAGUUCAGACCUCUUGUGCUCAGCUAUAAAUAUUUGACCCCU